rnacentral:tRNA from 1 species
AAGUCCGGUAGUGCGAGGCACGUUGAACUGCAAAUUCGAAGACGCCGUUAUUUUCUUGGCCCGGACU